UCGAAAGCCUGUCUCAGUUCGGAUUGGAGGCUGAAACCCGCCUCCAUGAAGUUGGAUUCGCUAGUAAUCGCGCAUCAGCCAUGGCGCGGUGAAUACGUUCCCGGGCCUUGUACACACCGCCCGUCAAGCCAUGGGAGCCGGGGGUGCCUGAAGUUCGUGACCGCAAGGAGCGACCUAGGGCAAAACUGGUGACUGGGGCUAAGUCGUAACAAGGUAAC
rnacentral:rRNA from 1 species